GCCUGAAUCCCAGAAUGAUGUCGCUCCAGUCUCAAAGAUUUCUAGAUAGGAAAUGUCAUCACUUGCCUUUAGAGUUCUUCUAUUUUUAACUGCAAUUUCUAAUUAGUGGUCCACAGACUUCGCAGUGUGUGUUACAAAGGACAAUCAAGCCCCCUCGUUCCCUUAUGUCCCUCUUCAAAUAGAAGGUCUGUUAGAACAUUCUCCACACAAUGAGUUUGAUCAGUAUUUAUAGUUUGCCCCCUUCUUUUAUCUCAGUGUUUUCUGGGUUCCCCUAAAAAGCUGAACCCUGAGAUUUUUUUUCGGAAGUAAUUCCAGAAACAAAAGUGGGAAACUAGAAAGAGUGAAGCAGGUAAGAGGGGAAAGCCAAUCCCAGGACGCUUUGGCAAGACAGUUGCUGCAGUGAAGAACUGGCAUUGAGUCACCGUGGGAACCUCCUGAGGAGCUGUGUGAAAAUGUCUCAGGAUUGACAAGUCACACGAGAGAAGGGAGAAGGCGCCCGAGCAGCCGAGGUGUGUGUCAGUUCCCUUGCACUUCCGGCUUUGCCCAUGGUUUGGAAUGACUGAGAAGUUCCCCACAGACAGCCACAGAGGCGGCAAAGAAGCCAAUGGUGCAGCAUGGAAGAGACUGUUGGUGAAGCUGAGGGGAGGUGCUGUCAACCACACCUGACCGGAGUUGGUUGCUGCAGCGAAGGCUGGAAAAAAGCAGGAAGGCAGAAGAGAUCUAUAAUUUGGAAAACACGCCCCUCCCUGCAGACAGAUAGAGCAGUGGUCACACACAAAGUGGAGGAAAUCUUGCACUCCAGAGAAGAAGAAAUGCUGACAGCAGCUUGAAGAAACACCCGAUUCCCUUGAGGAUCCACAUGAAUGGUUUUCACUAUUUGCCCUACAUUCUCAGAAGACUCUGAGGGACUUCCCUAGCGGUCCAGUGGCUAAGACUCUGAGCUUCCAAUGCAAGGGAUGCCAUUUCGAUCCCUGAUCAGGGAACUAAGAUCCCACAGGGCCGCAUGGCAAAAAAUAAAAGAUGAUCACAGAUCACUCGUUAAAAAUAGAAGACUCUGACCUUAAUUUUGCUCACAUCAUGCGCCUUCACUUGCUCUGAGGUCCUACUGCUGAUAAUCAGUGCUAUGUUGGUGCCUUUCCCAAAUCUCUCUCCCCUACGUCAUACAUCAAAUCACUGGGUGGUCCUAGAC
ensembl:lncRNA